AUACGUAGGGUGCGAGCGUUAAUCGGAAUUACUGGGCGUAAAGCGUGCGCAGGCGGUUAUGUAAGACAGAUGUGAAAUCCCCGGGCUCAACCUGGGAACUGCAUUUGUGACUGCAUGACUGGAGUGCGUCAGAGGGGGAUGGAAUUCCGCGUGUAGCAGUGAAAUGCGUAGAUAUGCGGAGGAACACCGAUGGCGAAGGCAAUCCCCUGGGCCUGCACUGACGCUCAUGCACGAAAGCGUGGGGAGCAAACAGAAUUAGAUACCCUAGUAGUCC
rnacentral:rRNA from 1 species